rnacentral:lncRNA from 1 species
UGUUCUUCCUCCCCCAACCUUCUGUCCGUCCAACCUUCUGUUCGUCCGCCGGAAAUUGAGCUAAAAAGGUUUUAAGCAAAACUUAAUGUCUUUUAGCUUCAAGAUUGGGCAAAAAUCCGGCCAGAACAACCCAGAAUGACAAAUCUCACCGAUGACUCUGUUACCGAGCAAAUCCAACCGCAGAUCUAAUCGAUCACAAAUCUCACCGAAAGAUAUGGUGUUCACAAAUCUCUCUCUCUACUUCUUCAACAGAAGCCACUGUUCUGGUAUAGGAUGCGUACAAUAAUGGUAGACAACGGUGAUGGAAGAACCGAGGAAAGCCAGGAAGAACGGUGAUGGAAGAACUGAUUAAGCAGAGUGCUUGUUUUCUUUUUGUUUAAG